AGUGAACGCUGGCGGUAGGCCUAACACAUGCAAGUCGAACGGCAGCACAGUAAGAGCUUGCUCUUACGGGUGGCGAGUGGCGGACGAGUGAGGAAUACAUCGGAAUCUACUUUUUCGUGGGGGCUAACGUAGGGAAACUUACGCUAAUACCGCAUACGACCUACGGGUGAAAGCAGGGGAUCUUCGGACCUUGCGCGAUUGAAUGAGCCGAUGUCGGAUUAGCUAGUUGGCGGGGUAAAGGCCCACCAAGGCGACGAUCCGUAGCUGGUCUGAGAGGAUGAUCAGCCACACUGGAACUGAGACACGGUCCAGACUCCUACGGGAGGCAGCAGUGGGGAAUAUUGGACAAUGGGCGCAAGCCUGAUCCAGCCAUACCGCGUGGGUGAAGAAGGCCUUCGGGUUGUAAAGCCCUUUUGUUGGGAAAGAAAAGCAGCAGGUUAAUACCCCGCUGUUCUGACGGUACCAAAAGAAUAAGCACCGGCUAACUUCGUG
rnacentral:rRNA from 1 species